rnacentral:misc_RNA from 1 species
AGAUCUUGGAGAGACUGCUCAGAUUGUGAUGGAGGUACACAAGGCCUUUGUGUCUGUUAAGUUAGUUUCAAGUGCUCCAAACCUUAAUGGGGGUUUGAAGCGGGCUCGCUGUUCUCCUCCAAACUGAAAGGUGUCGUAGUUUUACAAUUUUAAACCAGGUGGUUGAGUUUUAACUGCCAGUCAUUGAUCAUAUAGGGUGUAU